rnacentral:rRNA from 1 species
CCUACGGGAGGCAGCAGUGAGGAAUAUUGGUCAAUGGACGAGAGUCUGAACCAGCCAAGUAGCGUGCAGGAUGACUGCCCUAUGAGUUGUAAACUUCUUUUAUAUGGGAAUAAAAUGUUCCACGUGUGGGCUUUUGUAUGUACCAUAUGAAUAAGGAUCGGCUAACUCCGUGCCAGCAGCCGCGGUAAUACGGAGGAUCCGAGCGUUAUCCGGAUUUAUUGGGUUUAAAGGGAGCGUAGGUGGAUUGUUAAGUCAGAUGUGAAAUGUUGCGGCGCAACCGUAAAAUUGCAGUUGAAACUGGCAGUCUUGAGUACAGUAGAGGUAGGCGGAAUGCGUUGUGUAGCGGUGAAAUGCUUAGAUAUCACGAAGAACUCCGAUUGCGAAGGCAGCUCACUGGACUGCAACUGACACUGAGGCUCGAAAGUGUGGGUAUCAAACAGGAUUAGAUACCCCUGUAGUC